GAGCGGUUCGGUGGUUCUGUGGCUGGAGGCUGGAGCGUGCGUGCGUGUGUGUGCGUGCGGUGCACGCCUGUGUGCAUGAAACUUGGACUGAUGGUGCAGCUCAGCUGGAUGUCACAGCCAGAUCACAUCCUCCCGAACCCGAACCGGAGAAGUUACCCUCCAGGAGCGCAAGUGGAUAAAACAAAGGGUUCGGGUCGGGAUCCUUAGGCCCAUCUCAGUCUGCCGAACAGAAACAUUCAGACAGAACCCCAGCUGAGAUUAGAAGAUCCGGUCGAACAGAAGGAGAUAAAAGCUUCCUAACAGUUAUUUGGGCUCAUUUAGGGGGUUAUAAGUCAUAAAUCUGUGUCCACUUCUAGCUCCUCCUAACAUGGAUCUGUUUAUUAUCAGCUGCUUUUCCUAUAUGCUAAAUCAUGAAUACAAAUAUAAUCAGAUAAAUGUAUAUUUAGCUAACCAGUGGAUUCCCAUAGCUGUGAGGUUGACCUCUGACCCUUGAGCUGACCUGUGCUUUGGUUCCCUGCUGUAUUAUUUAGAUGUUUGCUAUGAUUGGCUGUUAUUUAAUCCCAUUCCUGCUGUCUUUAACAACAGAUCUAAAGUCGUAAAUGUGGGUUUGGAUCCCUUAUUCAUGUUCCUGUCUGGGUUCUGACAUUUAGAUCCUCCUAACAGUGGGACUUUAAUUAUUGGGAGGAACUUUUUUUGUAUUUAGAUUCGGUUAUGUUGAUGUAAAGAGUUGUUAUGUUUUGUAAUCUGCCCUCCAUAGUUAGAUUUUCACACAGUAGAAGAUGAAUAAUCUCAGUCUGAGCUGUGGUCGGGUCCCUGCAGGGUUCCAGGGUUCCUGACCGUCCCCUCCUGUAUGACAUGACUGAGUGACUGUGAUUGGAUAAAUCAGAUCUGGACCUAGUUUGACUUUCGGAGACGUCCACAGGCUGAACACUGUUAAACAGGCACUCCUGCGGCGUGUUUUGUAAUAGUGGGUUUGUCCGCGGGAUCACUGACCCCUCACCCAGCUGAGAUGUCCUCGUUGUUUGUUUUGGUGGACUGACCCGAUGCCUGCUGGAUAUAUGGACACCACAUCCUUGUGCUGACCCGUUCCUCCUCCUUCUUCCCUCCAUCCAUGACUUUCUUUUCCUCCCCUGAGGUUUCAUCAGCUCAGUGUGUUUCUGUCAGUCCUUCUGUUUGUUUUCCUUACCUCCGUCUCUUCCUGGAUCUGAGCCCUCGUCUGUGGAUCUCCUCCAUCUCUCUGCCCUACACUCAUUAGCUACAGUGAUGACAUCAUCUGUUACUGCUGGUUCCACAUCGCUCCUCCAUUUUUCUUCUAAUUCCUCAACACUGUGUCUAACUUCACAGGAACACAUGAGAACUUUUUCAAAUUCCUUUUCCCGAACUCUGAUCUAACCACGUUGCAAACAAAUGACUUCAGCCCACCUCCGUGCUUCUUAUCAACAAACCCGUCACCGUGUAACAUUUAUUCUCUGAUCAGUCGCUGCGUGGACCCCGAUCAGGCUGCUGGGUUUUGUGCUUUUGUUGGUUUUUAGGGUUGGAUAAGACCACGUUAGGACUUGACAAGAGGACCUGGAUCACAUCUGCUGAUGAUGAUCAUGUUUGGGAACUUUUACUCAGAAAAAACGUGUGACAAAACCCAUUAGAGGGAAGAAGUUUAACAUAAACUUGGUUUAAUCUGAAAACAACAAAAAUAAUUUGAAUUUUAGAAGUUAAAUAAUUGAAAUAACAUUUCUAUUUAAAGUAAAGCAUUAAAUUAGAAACAUGAUACUUGAGUAUACGUAGUUUCUGAGCCAGGUGUAAGUCAGCAAUUCUACAUUUUCUCUAUGAGGAAAGGUUGUUUCAUAAUCUUACCAACAAUCGGAUCAGGUACCUUUAAAUGAACUCCUCCACCAGCUCCUCCAGAGGGACUCGAGGCGCUCCCAGACCAGCUUAGUUACAUGAUACCUCCAGAGAGUCCGGGUCAACCUGGGAGACGUUUGUGUCAACAAUGUUUCUGUAGUCGUGAAAUUCUUCAUAUAAAAUAAUAACAUCUGGAAAUGUAAAUCAUAUCAGUAGCUAACAUAAGAACAGCUACAACUCCAUCAGUUCUAGAUACCAUUAAAUAAGCUGAUGUUAGAAUAGAAUAGAAUAAAAAAAUCUCUAUUGUCCCUCGGUGGGAAAUUUUGGCAUAAAGCCAGGAGCACACUGGAGGCAGACGCGGCGCGUUGUGGCAUCUGCCAUCAUUUUGAAUAGAAGCCUUUAUAGUUAAUGAGAGUGGCCACACAGGGAGCGCCUCGGUGUGUCGCUUCUGGGGUGCAGCGCGGUGCUCCCUGUGUAGUGAAAAUAAACGUUAGCCGUAUCUCAAUUUUACAUCAUUGUGGAGUACUUUAAAACAGACAUCACGACUCGGAACGGCUUUACGGCACAAACCCAGCUGCAGUGUUGAUAACUUUAAACCACUAUUGAUCUUAAAAUAUUCUACUGAAUAGCGUACUUACCCGUUUUUAAUGAGUCUCACAACACACGGUGGCAAGUCUGAUCACGUAUAAAAAAUAGAGUCACUUCCUGCUUCCUGUUUUCAAGUCCCAUGUGAUGUUGUGACUAUCGUGCGACUUUCCAAGAAGCGCGGCGCAGCACGACCAUUUGACUUCUCAAAAGCACGGGCACGACGAGGCGCAGUGCGUCUGCCUCCUGUGUGCCCCGGGCUUAACACUAGCCAUCUUAUUCACUACAGAAGCAAAAUAGAGUAAAAAGUAGACAAUCCGAGUAAUCAGAAUUUAAAGAACAAGUCACCCCAAAUCACUUUUUUUUGCUAAUAUAAACGAGUGUCUGUAGACACGUGUAGUCAAUUAUUUGACACUUUAGUGCAUCUUAGCUAAAAUUUAAAAAUUCUGCCAGGUAAAAACUCUACACUGCAUUUGAAUUUUAAUCUGCCAUCCCUAUUGGCUAAGAAACACCCUAUGACGUGAGCUGGUACCAUAUGAUGUCCCAAUGCCGUUGUGAGCCUGUGUGUGUAUUUGUUAGUGGCUCCCUCCUCUUGGUCUGUCAGGCAACAGCAUUUGUUGCAUUUUUUCAAACAGUAAGUUGGAGUGAAGUAAGACCCUGGUAGGGGGUAACUUACUCUUUAAAUGGUAGGAAUACAAAAAAACUCAAAAAAUCUAUUAGAAUUUUUCUAAAGUAUUCAAAAGUUAAAAAACUGAAUAUACACAUUUUAGAGAUUAAAUAUAAGAAAUAUAGAAAUAAGUUGUGGACAUGGAAUGAUAAACAUGAAUGGCAAAAGUGCAAAUGCAAUAAUUAGAGUGUGCGGACGCAAAUCACAAAAACAGCAGGAAUCAAGAAAUGCAAAAGUACUUAUCUACUGGGUUUCUGGGAACAGCGGUGGUUAUAAAUCCUAACAGCUGCUGGGAGGAAGGACCUGCGAUAACUUUUCAUGAAGGAUGCAGCAGGCUGUCACUAAAGGAGCUCUCCAGCUCCACAACAGCUCCAUGCAUGGGAUGGAAGACACUGUCCAAUAGUGAUGUUACAUUUGCUAGAGUCCUUCUGUCUCCCACCUCCUGCACUGCAUCAAAGGGACAUGAACAGAGCUAGCCUUCGUGAUAUGCUUAUAGUCUCUGUCUCACAGCCACAGAUAAGCUCCUCCCCCAACAGACCACACCAUAAAAACGGUUGAUGCCACCAUUGAGCCAAAGAAGGUCUUAGGAGUGACCCUCAGUCUCCUCAGCAGGUAAAAUCUGCUCUGAUGCCUCUUGAAAAGAGUAUCAGCGUUGUGACUCCAGUCCAGUUUGUUGUUCAGGUGAACACCCAGGAACUCCACUACCUCAGCGUCUGUUCCCUGGAAGUUCACCAGACCCAAAGUAGAGGGUCUGUGUCUAUUGAAUUGCUUCUAUGACAUCAUGUGCUACUGUAUAUAUUAAUAAAGCAGCUGCAUCCAUGAAAAUCCACCACUAGUUCUUUGGUUAGUCACAAAGCUCAGAGUUUUAACAGGUCAGAGCCUUAUUUUCAGGAUUAAACCGAAACAAAUAAAACUCAACAUAAGAUGACCUCAGCAGUGGGUGAUACGCAUUCCUGCAAAGAAUGAUGGGAGUUAAAGAUUUUGCCUGCUAUGGCAGAUACUCCCCCAGUAAUGACUCAAAUAUCCCAGUACUUAUGUGGUGGUAAAACAAUUCACAAAAACAUUAAGCAAAUAGAUAAGCCAAAAGAGGAAUAACCCGUUAUUACAGUUGUAAAUUCUCUCCUAAACGUUUACAGUCUGGAUCAGCAUUAUGUUGGAGAAAUAGUUUGGAAAGCUGCUCUUCUCUGUACCACUAGUUUGUGUUCUACUAAAAGUUAAAAACUCCAUGGUUCACGCUUAACUAAAUGUUGAUUGUUGGUCCAGUUUGAGCUGGAGCUGUCUGUUUUCUUAGAAAUCACAAGAUUUUUUUUGUUUGGAUGGAUUUAAGUAAUUAUUACUAAAUAGUUUCUAAGCAAACAUUCGUUGGAAUACAAACUGGCUGCUCAAGAAGCUCACCACCAAAUUUGUUCCAAGAUAACAGAAUUUUUUUUUUUGGUUCAGAAUUCCACUUUUCUCCCUUCUUUUUUUCCUGAAAAGCAACGUUUGGUUUAAUAAGGAACAACUGAAUGAAAAACCUCUUAAAUAGCAUGAAAAUGUUCAAGUUUGAGUCAAUAAAACAACUAAUGAAGGGUUUCUGUUCGGUGGUUAAUAACUGUGUAAAUCAUGAAGUCUCAGCUAAGUGUUUUUUUAAAGUACAUUUUAAAUAUUUAUUAAAAAUUCUAUAUUUCAUAUUUAUUGCAUAUAAAAUAUUGUUGAACCUUGGUUUUAGGUGAUAACUGUGUCCUGUUUGACUGAUGUUCAGGAGGCUAACUCACUUCCGCUCUGUGCUUACCUCCAAGCUGAUUUAUUUGGGCUUCUGGUUGAUACAACUCACUGAAAAGCUGUUGUGUGAAAUCACAAGUGUAUUUUAGAAGUUGUUCUGCUAUAAAUGCUGUAUUUAGUGUUAAACAUGGUGGGUCUCCAUCUCAGCCCUCCGUAUCCUGUCUUACUCUCUCUCUCUGUCCUUCUUUUAUCUAAUUUUAAAGCGUUAAUAGUCAUUAUCUUCUUUUGUUUCCUUGAUAAAAUAUUGUUUGAUUGCCCAGCCGUAGUCUCAGUUCUGCCUCUCCAGGAUAUUCCUCUUAAUCCUUGACCAGCCUGUAAUAAAGCGUUUGGAUAUAAUGCGGCGUCUCCUUUUGGUGACGGCGGCUCUUGUCUCUCUUUAAGUAUUCAUCAGCUGUUUUAACCUCCCACUCAUCUGGCCUGGCAGAGACAGCUAAAGCUCCUUAAGGGGGAAAUCCUUUUGUUACUGGGGAUUUGUUGACUCUGUAUUCUGAUUGUGAUGGUUGCCUUGUUAUCGGUGACACGGUGACCUGACUGAGGAGCUAACAUUUACAUUCUUGGCUCAUAAAGUUAUUCAUACUGAAUUAAAGCUCAAAGGAAUUGAUUGAUUGACGUAUUGCAUGAGAGUGCACAUUAAUAACCAUUGCUGCAAAUGUGUGGAGUUUGCCAAGAGGCUUUUAUGUCAUCCUUCCUCUGUGGAAGUUGAACAAAGUCACCUCUAAGUAAUGACAGAUGUGUUUUUCUGAUAGAAGUUGUGCUAGAGAGUGAGACUUGUGUCGACUCUAUACCUGUGUUUAUUUCCCAUGUGUGAAUGAGUCACUGUGGUAAUCUCUGAAUGGUUUGACUGGCUCUAAGGCUCCAUUGAUGCUGCAGGUAAACGUGACCUAAAUCUGACCAAAGACACAGCCCUGUGGAACACCACAAGUUGCUGGUCCUCACUUGCUACGAUUUUUUUCUGACCCUGUGAUAUAAUAUUUUACGGUAUUUUAGAUAUAUCGAGACCAUUGUCUUGAAACAGAUAAGGGGAGAAUGCCUUGUCCAGGUAAGGGACAAGGUCCUGCCUCUAGUGGACGAGUUUAAGUAUCUCUGGGUCUUGUUUAUGAAUGAGACCAAGAUUGGUGCUGCGUUUGCAGUGAUGCUGGCGUUGUACCCGCUGAGUCAGAAGGUGAUCAUCGGCCGAUCUACGUUCCUACCCUCAUUUAAGGUCUGUCAUGUUUGGAGGAAGGUACGUAACCCAUGACAUGCAGAAUGCAACACGGACCAAGAAUGGGGGUAACAAAUGAUUUAUUUAUAACGAAGGAACUGAGGAUGCACAGAAAAGUCUGUGGUAGGUACUGCUAUGACAGCUCAGCGUCUGGAAGAGGGAGAACAUAGGUGAGGAUUGAUUCUGAUUCAGAGGUCCGUUAUAGGCAGAGGUGUUCAGCAGAACUUACUGUGGGACGUGAGUUUGCUGGCUGGAGGUGGGAGCAGGUUGUGAGCCUAACCAUCUUUGAGUCUCUUGCCAGGAAAGGGAGUGCCCCAGCUGUUCCUGAUCAGCAAUCAGCGGGAUGUUUUCCUAUUUAAGGUGGAUGGAGGACACAAUUCAACGCCGGAAGAAUGCCUCAGCUUGGAUUCCCGCUUGUUCUCUGGUCGCUUGCCUUUGGACACCUACCUCUGACUCCAGGAUUUGAAUACUCAGCAUGUGGACCAUAUCACCAAUCUCCAUAACCCUCCUCUCUCAUCUCAACCCGGUGCCCCAUCCACCGGGACGCCCCGCUUUCCUCCACCUAUGCUCCCUCUCCUGCGCUUCCCCAGCUCUCAACCUGCUCCCGCCUCCAGCCAGCAAACUCACGUCCCCCAACGCUGAGCUGUCGUAGCAGUACCUACCACAGACUUUUCUGUGCAUCCUCAGUUCCUUCGUUAUAAAUAAAUCAUUUUUUACCCCCGUUCUUGGUCCGUGUUGCAUUCUGCAUGUCUUGGGUUAAGUACCUUCCUCCAAACAUGACACAAGUGCACUUUACUCCUGUUUUAUCAUCUCUACACUAAUUUCUGGAACAUUUUUUAAUUGAUUCUAAAAAUUUUUUUUUUUUUUUUUUUUUUUUACUUUUUCUCAGUAAGGACCUGCAGCUAUUCAAACCUGUGUUUCAGUGGGGUUCAAAGUUAAUAUUUCUGAAAAUAUUCAUUGACAAUGUCCAACAACACGAGGAUGGAAAACUAGGAAAGUGGCAGCAGGUCAAAACCGAACCAUGUGGUGACCUCCUGGUGGAUAAUUUAUUUGAUCUGGGGCACAGCUAAGGCCACUGUUUAUCUGUCCAGUACAGAAAGUAUGCCAGAGUGUCUGUUCUUUACAAAAUCAGACUAGAUACAGCAGCACUUAUGAUUUUCACAUCUUGUUCAUUUAGCAAGAUAUUUGCGAUGCACACAGAUCUUGACACAUUUCCAUACUGAUCCAGUAGAAAAGUGCCUGUCACCAAAUGGGGAGGGCCGAGCUCGGGAUUAAAACUAAUGUCUCUGAGGAUUUUUGACGUCUGACCAUGAGGGAUAACUUCAGGGGGUCGCAUUGUCUUGUUCACACAAUUUUCUAUGCUUUUUCUAUAUAAACCAAUUUCAAACCAACCUACUGAAUACUCGUAAUUUUUGGAAGUGAAAAAUCAGGAACUGAGUGUUACCGGCCUUCCUCCCCUGGAAAUAAAGAACCAGGAAGUUAAGGUCCGCUAGCUGGAGAGGAUCCAGACAAGAAAGGAGCUUUCUUCUAGCCUGGCCUGCCAGACUCGUCCUCUGUUUAAUUCUGCACAGAGAAUGAGUCUGGUAACUCACAGGCAGAGGCACUUGAGGGGUGGGACUAGAAGACUCAAAAAUUACCAAUCAGAUAAAGGAAGGAAAUCCCGACUGUACCGCACGACGCGGUAGAUUUCUAGUCGUAGUAAAAAAAAUUGCGUCUGGUAACAGCGCAAAUGUCUUAUUUUUUUUUAGAAGAAAUGCUUUUCGCGCUUCUAUUUGUGGUUUUAAAGAUAUCUGAGUCAUUUAGAACAAAGGAAAGAGCCGCAGCGAACUCCACCGCUGUCUUCGUUGUUAAUGAGAAACUGAGCAUCGCUGUGUGUGAAGUCGGCAACGCUGGAGUCUGGCGACAGCGCAAACAUCUUUGUUUAGAAAAAAGGCUUUUAGCGUUUGUACUUGUUGUGGUUUUAAAGACAUGUUCAAAUCAUUUAGAACAAAGGAAAGAGCCGCAGCGAACUCCACUUCAGUCACCAUGUUUAUGACAGACAAACUCGGCGUUAUGGUGUGUGACGUACGAUACUCAGCGCUGAUUGGCUCGGUUAGAAUUCUCACGGGGUGGGGUUAUUUGAAUAGGAGCGUUCCCAGACCCUUUCUCUGUGCAGAAUUAAACAGAGGAGAAGUCUGGCCAGGCCUAGCUUUCUACAGUCCUUCACAAUAAUGGCGCUGAAACCCAGGACCUCAUACACCUUAACCAUUGUGUUUUGAUGAGCUGAUUCCAGCAAGGUGUGUUUUUGUCUGAGGAGAAGAAAUAAUUCAACAAUUUCACAACUCACUAAGAAAUUGUGAUAGAUAGCCACAAUUUCCUUAUUGACCAAAGUCAUUCAAACUCUAAUAGGUCAUGCCCAAUUCAUCCACUGUAUCUGUAAGUUCUGGUUAGGUCUUAAACUUAAUUACAUUAUAUAACAGAAAUCUUUAUUUUCUACUCUCUUGAUAUAACUUCAGAUCCUUAAGCAGGGCUCGGAUAGCCAUCCUGAAGUCCUGGAUACCACGAUUUUCCCGUUAACAUCCUGCCUCUCUGAAUAACCUUCCUGAGGAGAUUAAAUGGACUGCAUCCUUACCCUCUUUUAAAUCCCUCUUAAAAAGACUAAUUCCUAUAAAAGUAUCUUUGCUAACCUUUAUUUUGACCUCUAGUUUGACUUUACUUUUCCUGUUUAUUAUCUUUUUAAUGUCAUGUUAUUUUACCAAAUAUUUGAUAACAGGCGUGCUGUGUAGCACCUUGUAACAUUAGUUUUAAAAUGUGCUUACUAUUAUUAUCAUUAUAAUCCUUAUUAUUUGAGCAUUGCUCCUAUCUGAGCCCAUCGUCUAUCCUGAAACUCUUCUGUGUC